AUAUCACGCUCUAUGUGACCUUACACGUGAUAUUAUAUGACGCUGUUAUGACCUUAUAUCACAAAAGUGCCAAUUGUUUCAUGAUUUGUCUUACCUAAUAUACAAAGCACAGAAACAGUAUCAGUAUAAAUACCACUGAAACUAGUAACACAAUGACAGAUUUGUAAUCUUUAUUCACAGCAAUACAAAAAGUACAAAAAUAUUAAUUUACAUACAUACACAUGUUCACCUACAUAUGCCGUUAUGUGACCUGGUAUCAGUACAGGUGCCCUUAUGUGACCUGAUAUCAGUACAGGUGCCUCUUAUGUGAGCUGAUACCGGUACCGGUGCCCUUAUGUGACCUGAUACCGGUACAGGUGCCCUUAUGUAACCUGAUACAAGUACAGGUGCCCUUAUGUAACCUGGUAUCAGUACAGGUGCCCUUAUGUGACCUGAUAUCAGUACAGGUGCCUCUUAUGUGACCUGAUACCGGUACCGGUGCCCUUAUGUGACCUGAUACCAGUACAGGUGCCCUUAUGUGACCUGAUACCCGUAUAGGUGCGCUUAUGUGCCCUUAUGUCAGUACAGGUGCCCUUAUUUCCCCUUAUAUCACUUCAAGUGCCCUUAUGU